rnacentral:tRNA from 1 species
GCUCUCAUAGCUCAACUGGAUAGAGCGUCAGAUUGCGGUUCUGGAGGUUGCAGGUUCAAGUCCUGCUGAGAGCACCA